GAGAGUGGAUAGUGUACCUGGCCGGCCAGCGGAGGGAGCUGCAGGACCCUGGACAGGGCAGUGCUGUGCUGCCAGAAGUCAGGGAGAGCAAGCAGGAGUGCUGGGCUGGCUGAUGGGACUCCACCAGGACAAGACCCUGAGGGUUUGUUCCUGGUGCUUCUUGAAGACUAAGGGGCUCCAUAGGGAAGUGUGUGAUCCAGGCAUAGCAGCAGACAUCCGAAGACUGCAAAUGAGCCUGAUGCUAAUGAAGAGCUUAUGAAUUUACAUGAGAAACUGCAGAGAAAAACAAACAGCAAAGGGGCACCCUGUUUACAAGUAAAGACAAUGGAUUUGGGGGGAAUAACUGGGAAUACUGAAGUACACCUUUGUGCCUUCAGCAAGGAGACGGUUCUCAUUCUGUCUUAUGAGAAGAGUCAGUCAACCUGGGUGGAAAAUGCUGCAGAGCCUUCUCAUGUCUACAUUUAGACUGCUACAUUGCCACUGUAGCACUUCAGUGUAGACAUGACCUAUGCUGACAGGAGUUCUCCCAUCUGUAUAGGUGACCCCAUCCCAGAGCAGCAGUGACUAGGUCAAUGGAAAAAUUCUUCAAUCAACCUAGUGCUGUUUACAUCAGGGGCUAGUCAGCAUAACUACGUCUCUGAGGGCUGGAUUUUUCGCUGAGACAUAGCUAUGGCAAUGUAACCUCCCAGUGUAGACCAGCCCUUUGAGGGAGCAAAACUUUAUCAGAGUAGUUUGGUAAUCAAGUCUAGGCUUUCGAGUGUUAUGGUUGGUUUUUUUUUUUUACAUGAAACCAUUUCUUUUCAAUACUUUGACUUGCUACUACUCAAGACUCUAUAUACUCGUAUGUUUAAAGUCAAACAAGUAAAAAGUUUAAGUGCUAUAUGCUAAACAGUGUAAAAAGCAACACAGAGCCCUAUGGCACCUUAAAGACUAACAGAUGUAUUGGAGCAUAAGCUUUCAUGGGCAAAUACCACUUUG